rnacentral:ncRNA from 1 species
UAUCCGAAAAGGCAAACUCCGGGAAACCGGAGGGCGCAAAGUUACGGGUCUAAAGGUAAAGAACCUACGAUCGCCGAACGCACCGAUAACGUAAACAAGCUUACCUAUGACCGCCGAGCUGCCGAA